AGCCGCGAGGCCGAGCAAAUCUCAAAAAUAACGUCUCAGUUCGGAUUGUAGUCUGCAACUCGACUACAUGAAGCUGGAAUCGCUAGUAAUCGCAGAUCAGAAUGCUGCGGUGAAUACGUUCCCGGGUCUUGUACACACCGCCCGUCACACCAUGGGAGUCAGUAACGCCCGAAGUCAGUGACCCAACCGAAAGGAGGGAGCUGCCGAAGGUGGGACCGAUAACUGGGGUGAAGUCGUAACAAGGUAGCCGUAUCGGAAGGUGCGGCUGGAUCACCUCCUUUCUAAGGAA
rnacentral:rRNA from 1 species